UUUGUCUGCGCCCGCCGCUGCCUGGGAGCCGCGCUCUAGCCGCCCGGCGCGCCCGCCGUCCAGCCCUCGGAUCCCACUGAGGACCGGGACGGGAGGGAGGCGUUGGGGAAGCCCCCAGCGGCCCGGACCGAGGGGCUUCUCCUGGUUUCGACCCGGGGUGAGAAAUCCUUGGAUACUAGCUAGGAGGAGCUGCCCACAGCAGGUUAAGUUUAAGGAGCGUCGUCUCUGCCCUCCGCUCUCUCCGGGGAAAGACCCCCGGUACGGAAUCCCUGGGAAAACCUGGAAGGAGCCGCCUACAGCGAGUGAAGCUUGAGAAGGACCGUCUCUGUCUGCAGUCUCCUCUCCUCCGGGGAAAGACCGGGGCUUUAAAAUCCCUUGAAAUAAGCCCAGCACUUGCUCCAUUAGUUUGAGAAAAGCCUCUUUUAUUCGCCCCUGCCGCUUUGGACGAAAGCCCUGGUUAAUGCCCUGUCCUCCCUCCUUCCCCGCAGGGAUCUCCCUUAAAAGCUUUUGAAAGGGACUGGAGAGGAGGCAGCCGCAGCCUGCUCGGGGCUGCUGCCACGGAGGGCGGCCAGCAUUUCACUCUCACCGACCAUGGCAACCCCAGAAGCUUUGCAACUCCUGGGAGGAAUUUGCAGCUGUCAGGGAAGCCCGGCGUUUUGCAGCGCCUCCGAGGUGGAUAAGGGGCCCCAGGGCUUCCUCCUCCUGCGGGGUAGAAGGGAAUAAUCGGGAGGGCAACCCAUUUGCUGACCUUUAUUCAAAGUACUGUGCUGCUGGACCAACAGGCUCGCACAGAGUGUGUAUAUAUAUAUAUAUAUAUAUAUAUAUAUAUAUAUAUAUAUAUACACAGGCAGGGAGCUACGUUGGAAAUGCUCGAAGUUCGGACAAAAUAAAUUUAUCUGCUGGCCCCUC